CCUACGGGCUGCAGCAGUGGGGAAUAUUGGACAAUGGGCGAAAGCCUGAUCCAGCCAUGCCGCGUGUGUGAAGAAGGCCUUCGGGUUGUAAAGCACUUUCAGUGGGGAAGAAAGCCUUGGGGCUAAUACCCUCGAGGAAGGACAUCACCCACAGAAGAAGCACCGGCUAACUCCGUGCCAGCAGCCGCGGUAAUACGGAGGGUGCGAGCGUUAAUCGGAAUUACUGGGCGUAAAGCGCGCGUAGGCGGUCUGAUAAGCCGGUUGUGAAAGCCCCGGGCUCAACCUGGGAACGGCAUCCGGAACUGUCAGGCUAGAGUGCAGGAGAGGAAGGUAGAAUUCCCGGUGUAGCGGUGAAAUGCGUAGAGAUCGGGAGGAAUACCAGUGGCGAAGGCGGCCUUCUGGACUGACACUGACGCUGAGGUGCGAAAGCGUGGGUAGCAAACAGGAUUAGAUACCCUGGUAGUC
rnacentral:rRNA from 1 species